rfam:Ovis aries breed Texel chromosome 17, whole genome shotgun sequence.
UCCCUGGUGGCUCAGAGGUUAAAGCGUCUGCCUGGAAUGCGGAAGACCUGGGUUCGAGCCCUGGGCCAGGGAA